AGAACAUUGUGCCUGGGAUCUUUGCUCGCAAGCUGUGUCCAGGUCGGGCGUCAAUGAGGGUUCCACCUGUGGAUCGAGGACGAAGAAGAAUGUGGAAAUUUCCGAACCUUGGCGGACAGACACCCGACUGAAAAGGGCUAGGCCACCCGCAGCGGCGGGGUUACCCGAAGUGACUAAGGCUCUGCUGUAAUUGCCAACGUAGCCCGGAGAAAAGGGGCAGCCGCUGUGGAAGGCCUCUGUGACGCCUCGGGCUCCUCAGAAGCUGAAGUGGGGCACAAGGCCAAGCAGAAUGGAUUUCAUCUCCAAAGCGCCGUUUUACCUUCGCUAGCAUCCCCGUCAGCUGGACCAAGGAAGGGUUUUGGGUCCGCAACUGUGAGUCCAACCCCAGUCCGCGGAGCCACUACCUUCCUCUACACCCUUUUCGAAGGCACCGCCCCAACUCUUGAAACCUGUAUAUAGUGCAACUUGUGUUAAAACACUCUGACCGCAUUCAUCUCCCAACGCUGUUUUGCGUGAUGAGUCCCUCUGACCUCCACUAAGAAAGGGGUUUCAGGGCCACUUGUCUCUAUGAAUUUUUAAUAAUAGUAAUAAUAAUAACAACAACAAUAAUACAUUUUGUCCUAAUGAUUCGUGUGGACCAAGAAUGAGGUGGUUAUUGUUUGGUAUUGGUAAAAUCAAAUAUUUUCAAAGACUCUUCCUCAAC
rnacentral:lncRNA from 1 species